rnacentral:rRNA from 1 species
UACAGAGGUCUCAAGCGUUGUUCGGAUUCAUUGGGCGUAAAGGGUGCGUAGGCGGCGCGGUAAGUCGGGUGUGAAAAUCGUUGGAGCUUUAACUCCGAAACUGCAUUCGAUACUGCCGUGCUUGAGGACUGGAGAGGAGACUGGAAAUUUACGGUGUAGCGGUGAAAUGCGUAGAUAUCGUAAGGAAGACCAGUGGCGAAGGCGGGUCUCUUGGACAGUUCCU